rnacentral:rRNA from 1 species
GCCCAGACUCCUACGGGAGGCAGCAGUGGGGGAUAUUGCACAAUGGGGGGAACCCUGAUGCAGCGACGCCGCGUGGGUGAAGAAGCGCUUCGGCGCGUAAAGCCCUUUCAGCAGGGAAGAAAAUGACGGUACCUGAAGAAGAAGCCCCGGCUAACUACGUGCCAGCAGCCGCGGUAAUACGUAGGGGGCAAGCGCUAUCCGGAUUUACUGGGUGUAAAGGGGGCGCAGACGGCGAUGCAAGCCAGGGGUGAAAGCCCGGGGCCCAACCCCGGGACUGCUCUUGGAACUGCGUGGCUGGAGUGCAGGAGGGGCAGGCGGAAUUCCUGGUGUAGCGGUGAAAUGCGUAGAUAUCAGGAGGAACACCGGUGGCGAAGGCGGCCUGCUGGACUGCAACUGACGUUGAGGCCCGAAAGCGUGGGGAGCAAACAGGAUUAGAUACCCCAGUA